rnacentral:rRNA from 1 species
UACAGAGGGUGCGAGCGUUGUCCGGAAUCACUGGGCGUAAAGGGCGCGUAGGUGGCGCCCCAAGUCCGUGGUGAAAGCUCGCUGCUUAACAUCGAGUCGGCCACGGAAACUGGGGGGCUGGAGCACUGUAGAGGCAGAUGGAAUUCCGGGUGUAGCGGUGGAAUGCGUAGAGAUCCGGAAGAACACCAGUGGCGAAGGCGGUCUGCUGGGCGGUGGGGUCGCAAGAUCCCAAUAGCCAACACUGAGGCGCGACAGCGUGGGGAGCAAACAGG